rnacentral:misc_RNA from 1 species
UUAAGUUCAGCGGGUAUCCCUACCUGAUCCGAGGUCAAGACAAAUGUUUGGUUCGUUUUCACGGCCGGCACCGUCGGGACCCAGGAGCGUCGUUAAGUACUGCGCUCAGAGUCCACGGCGGCUCCGCCACUGCGAUUCGGGGCGCUCGGUGCUGGACCGAGGCGCCCCAACAACAAGCUGGCGCUUGAGGGUCGAAAUGA